GAUGAACGCUGGCGGCGUGCCUAAUACAUGCAAGUCGAGCGAACGGACGAGAAGCUUGCUUCUCUGAUGUUAGCGGCGGACGGGUGAGUAACACGUGGAUAACCUACCUAUAAGACUGGGAUAACUUCGGGAAACCGGAGCUAAUACCGGAUAAUAUUUUGAACCGCAUGGUUCAAAAGUGAAAGACGGUCUUGCUGUCACUUAUAGAUGGAUCCGCGCUGCAUUAGCUAGUUGGUAAGGUAACGGCUUACCAAGGCAACGAUGCAUAGCCGACCUGAGAGGGUGAUCGGCCACACUGGAACUGAGACACGGUCCAGACUCCUACGGGAGGCAGCAGUAGGGAAUCUUCCGCAAUGGGCGAAAGCCUGACGGAGCAACGCCGCGUGAGUGAUGAAGGUCUUCGGAUCGUAAAACUCUGUUAUUAGGGAAGAACAUAUGUGUAAGUAACUGUGCACAUCUUGACGGUACCUAAUCAGAAAGCCACGGCUAACUACGUGCCAGCAGCCGCGGUAAUACGUAGGUGGCAAGCGUUAUCCGGAAUUAUUGGGCGUAAAGCGCGCGUAGGCGGUUUUUUAAGUCUGAUGUGAAAGCCCACGGCUCAACCGUGGAGGGUCAUUGGAAACUGGAAAACUUGAGUGCAGAAGAGGAAAGUGGAAUUCCAUGUGUAGCGGUGAAAUGCGCAGAGAUAUGGAGGAACACCAGUGGCGAAGGCGACUUUCUGGUCUGUAACUGACGCUGAUGUGCGAAAGCGUGGGGAUCAAACAGGAUUAGAUACCCUGGUAGUCCACGCCGUAAACGAUGAGUGCUAAGUGUUAGGGGGUUUCCGCCCCUUAGUGCUGCAGCUAACGCAUUAAGCACUCCGCCUGGGGAGUACGACCGCAAGGUUGAAACUCAAAGGAAUUGACGGGGACCCGCACAAGCGGUGGAGCAUGUGGUUUAAUUCGAAGCAACGCGAAGAACCUUACCAAAUCUUGACAUCCUUUGACAACUCUAGAGAUAGAGCCUUCCCCUUCGGGGGACAAAGUGACAGGUGGUGCAUGGUUGUCGUCAGCUCGUGUCGUGAGAUGUUGGGUUAAGUCCCGCAACGAGCGCAACCCUUAAGCUUAGUUGCCAUCAUUAAGUUGGGCACUCUAAGUUGACUGCCGGUGACAAACCGGAGGAAGGUGGGGAUGACGUCAAAUCAUCAUGCCCCUUAUGAUUUGGGCUACACACGUGCUACAAUGGACAAUACAAAGGGCAGCGAAACCGCGAGGUCAAGCAAAUCCCAUAAAGUUGUUCUCAGUUCGGAUUGUAGUCUGUAACUCGACUACAUGAAGCUGGAAUCGCUAGUAAUCGUAGAUCAGCAUGCUACGGUGAAUACGUUCCCGGGUCU
rnacentral:rRNA from 1 species